GAUGAACGCUGGCGGCGUGCCUAAUACAUGCAAGUCGAGCGAACGGACGAGAAUCUUGCUUCUCUGAUGUUAGCGGCGGACGGGUGAGUAACACGUGGAUAACCUACCUAUAAGACUGGGAUAACUUCGGGAAACCGGAGCUAAUACCGGAUAAUAUUUUGAACCGCAUGGUUCAAAAGUGAAAGACGGUCUUGCUGUCACUUAUAGAUGGAUCCGCGCUGCAUUAGCUAGUUGGUAAGGUAACGGCUUACCAAGGAAACGAUGCAUAGCCGACCUGAGAGGGUGAUCGGCCACACUGGAACUGAGACACGGUCCAGACUCCUACGGGAGGCAGCAGUAGGGAAUCUUCCGCAAUGGGCGAAAGCCUGACGGAGCAACGCCGCGUGAGUGAUGAAGGUCUUCGGAUCGUAAAACUCUGUUAUUAGGGAAGAACAUAUGUGUAAGUAACUGUGCACAUCUUGACGGUACCUAAUCAGAAAGCCACGGCUAACUACGUG
rnacentral:rRNA from 1 species